AGCUUAUAAUGUACAGUCCUAUCACAAAGCAGAAUAAAAACAUGAAACCUAUAAAUGGGAAUGCCAUAAAGUAUUUUUAUCUCUACAGGUUCAUUCAUGCAGAGGGCAUUUAUUGGGUGACUGCAGUACUGCAAAAGGUUGCAAAGGAAAUGGAAGAUCUGGUCCCUGCAGGUUGGGAGUUUACAAUCUAAUUAGAAAUACAAGGCAUAUAUACGUGAAAAAACUAGAAUCCCCAGCUGUAAGCAAAAGGAUGGAGUAGGUGGG
rnacentral:lncRNA from 1 species